AAUGAACGCUGGCGGCAGGCCUAACGCAUGCAAGUCGAACGGAUCCUUCGGGAUUAGUGGCGGACGGGUGAGUAACGCGUGGGAACAUACCCUUUGGUACGGAAUAGCCUCGGGAAACUGGGAGUAAUACCGUAUGUGGUCGAGAGACGAAAGAUUUAUCGCCUUUGGAUUGGCCCGCGUUGGAUUAGGUAGUUGGUGGGGUAAUGGCCUACCAAGCCGACGAUCCAUAGCUGGUUUGAGAGGAUGAUCAGCCACACUGGGACUGAGACACGGCCCAGACUCCUACGGGAGGCAGCAGUGGGGAAUCUUAGACAAUGGGGGAAACCCUGAUCUAGCCAUGCCGCGUGAUCGAUGAAGGCCUUAGGGUUGUAAAGAUCUUUCAGGUGGGAAGAUAAUGACUGUACCACCAGAAGAAGCCCCGGCUAACUCCGUGCCAGCAGCCGCCGUAA
rnacentral:rRNA from 1 species